CACUGUGAAAACCAAAAUAAAAAUGACAGCAUGCAUGUGAAAGCUUAGAGUCCUAUGGAAAAGUAAGUCGUGUUAGGUUAAUGAUGCUGUUCAAACUUUUUUUUAGUUGAUGGGCCACAUAGAUCAAGACUCUGGCUUCAGUGAAGACUUCAAGCUGCCUCGACAUGAUGCCCGGAGUUCUCCACUGAGGGUGCUGUCUCAGAACACAGCAAGACUCUGCCAGGACUUGCCGGUGACAGAGUGGACAUAUUCCUGUGUUCUCACAGCAGGACCUGGCGUUGAGGACUGCGUGAUAAAAAUCUCAGUCACCUCUUGUGUGUGGUGUAUGCUGAGGGGAAACUUCAGCAAAAUGCAGACAUUUCUAGGCAGAAAUGUCCACUGAGCCAUUAUAAGCCCAGAAGAGCCGUAGACAUAAACCGGGAAGGAAAUAUUUACCAUACAGGGGAAAUGUCGUCAGCGGCUGACUCUGCUCUCUGACCCUUGGCCCUGAAUCACCAAAGAACUGAACACCCCAGGGAGGCUGGUCCCUGCCCACUGGCUGAUCACUGAGAACAGGUGGGUCCUGAAGGCUGGGCCAGACUUAUUUUUGGGGAGGCGAAGCAAAUCCAAGCCGAGAUGUUGGAGAGAAUUAGAGAAAACACCCCCAUCUCAGCUCCCAUCUGCCAGGCUGGGGCUGGGCACGGCACAACACGAAAGCAGAGCAAGGGGGACUUGACUCAAAGCAAAAUGACCAACCAAGAGGCUGGGAAAAGAGGCGGGUUCAGAUCGGAGCCAGGAGCUCCUGGUGGGGUCAGCAGGGUGUUCGGGAGGCUCGGGCUUCUCUCUAUGAAGGUUUGGGGACCAGAGGGGCCCGGGACAUGGGCAGAGGACAGUGGGUUUGGUGACCUGAGCAGAGGGCAUCUGUUCCUGUCCCUCUCCUGGGGCAGUGAGGCUGGUGCCCCCUGGGCAGCUGAGCCCUGGGCAGGCUCAGGGCCAGUGUGGCCUCUCUGGGCGGGGUUCUCCAGUGCAAGGCAUGUGAGCACAGGCUAGGGGUGGGGCCGUCAAGUUAGGACCAGCAGAUAUGUGUUGCUGCCUCUCCCUGGCCACACCAAGGCUUUGGCACCUUCUUCCCCACCCAUCCAUUCCUCUCCAGCUUCAGUCCUUUACACUGAAGUGGACUUUUAAAAAUAGGUAAAGCACAUGGUACACAGUGGAAAGUUCCCUGUCCUGCCCCGCCCCACCUUCCCCUCCUCGGAGCAACAUCUGUGUCCUUACUGGGAUGAUGCAUGGGUAUGCUAGCAUAGAAGUUAAUAUUCUCCCUUUCUGGCUUUUUCUGGUGGCAGAGAUUCCUCCGAGAGUCUGAAAAAACUCACUGAAAUAGGGUAUACACACACACA